AACGAACGCUGGCGGCAGGCUUAACACAUGCAAGUCGAGCGAGACCUUCGGGUCUAGCGGCGGACGGGUGAGUAACGCGUGGGAACGUGCCCUUCUCUACGGAAUAGCUCCGGGAAACUGGGAGUAAUACCGUAUACGCCCUUUGGGGGAAAGAUUUAUCGGAGAAGGAUCGUCCCGCGUUGGAUUAGGUAGUUGGUUGGGUAAUGGCCCACCAAGCCGACGAUCCAUAGCUGGUUUGAGAGGAUGAUCAGCCACACUGGGACUGAGACACGGCCCAGACUCCUACGGGAGGCAGCAGUGGGGAAUCUUAGACAAUGGGGGCAACCAUGAUCUAGCCAUGCCGCGUGAGUGAUGAAGGCCUUAGGGUUGUAAAGCUCUUUCAGCUGGGAAGAUAAUGACGGUACCAGCAGAAGAAGCCCCGGCUAACUCCGUG
rnacentral:rRNA from 1 species